AUUGAACGCUGGCGGCAGGCCUAACACAUGCAAGUCGAGCGAGCGGCGGACGGGUGAGUACUGUAUGGGGACUGCCCGAUAGAGGGGGAUAACUACUGGAAACGGUAGCUAAUACCGCAUACUAUCGGAUAACCUCUAUGGGAUUAGUUAGUAGGUGAGGUAAUGGCUAACCUAGGCGACGAUCCCUAACUGGUCUGAGAGGAUGGUCAGUCACAAGUGAUCUGAGACAGGGCACAGGUGCCUAGGGAGGCAGCAGUGGGUAAUAUUGCACAAUUGGCGAAAGCCGGAUGCAUCCAUGCCGCGUGUAUGAAGAAGGCCCUAGGGUUGUAAAGUACUUUCAGGCGGGAGGCGUUACCGACAGAAGAAGCACCGGCUAAAUACGUGCCAGCAGCCGCGGUAAUUC
rnacentral:rRNA from 1 species